rnacentral:rRNA from 1 species
CCUACGGGUGGCAGCAGUGAGGAAUAUUGGUCAAUGGACGCAAGUCUGAACCAGCCAUGUCGCGUGCAGGAUGACGGCCCUAUGAGUUGUAAACUGCUUUUGUACGAGGGUAAACGCAGAUACGCGUAUCUGUCUGAAAGUAUCGUACGAAUAAGGAUCGGCUAACUCCGUGCCAGCAGCCGCGGUAAUACGGAGGAUUCAAGCGUUAUCCGGAUUUAUUGGGUUUAAAGGGUGCGUAGGCGGUCGGAUAAGUUAGAGGUGAAAUCCCGAGGCUCAACUUCGGAAGUGCCUCUGAUACUGUCCGGCUAGAGAGUAGUUGCGGUAGGCGGAAUGUAUGGUGUAGCGGUGAAAUGCUUAGAGAUCACACAGAACACCGAUUGCGAAGGCAGCUUACCAAGCUACGUCUGACGUUGAGGCACGAAAGCGUGGGUAGCAAACAGGAUUAGAUACCCGAGUAGUC